AUUGAACGCUGGCGGCAGGCCUAACACAUGCAAGUCGAGCGGAUGAAGGGAGCUUGCUCCUGGAUUCAGCGGCGGACGGGUGAGUAAUGCCUAGGAAUCUGCCUGGUAGUGGGGGAUAACGUCCGGAAACGGGCGCUAAUACCGCAUACGUCCUGAGGGAGAAAGUGGGGGAUCUUCGGACCUCACGCUAUCAGAUGAGCCUAGGUCGGAUUAGCUAGUUGGUUGGGUAAAGGCCUACCAAGGCGACGAUCCGUAACUGGUCUGAGAGGAUGAUCAGUCACACUGGAACUGAGACACGGUCCAGACUCCUACGGGAGGCAGCAGUGGGGAAUAUUGGACAAAGGGCGAAAGCCUGAUCCAGCCAUGCCGCGUGUGUGAAGAAGGUCUUCGGAUUGUAAAGCACUUUAAGUUGGGAGGAAGGGCAGUAAGUUAAUACCUUGCUGUUUUGACGGUACCAACAGAAUAAGCACCGGCUAACUUCGUG
rnacentral:rRNA from 1 species